rnacentral:rRNA from 1 species
UACGUAGGGGGCAAGCGUUGUCCGGAAUUACUGGGCGUAAAGGGCUCGUAGGCGGCCAACUAAGUCGGACGUGAAAUCCCUCGGCUUAACCGGGGAACUGCAUCCGAUACUGGAAGGCUUGAGUUUGGGAGAGGGAUGCGGAAUUCCAGGUGUAGCGGUGAAAUGCGUAGAUAUCUGGAGGAACACCGGUGGCGAAGGCGGCAUCCUGGACCAACACUGACGCUGAGGAGCGAAAGCCAGGGGAGCAAACGGG